rfam:Ovis aries breed Texel chromosome 17, whole genome shotgun sequence.
UCCCUGGUGGCUGAGACAGUAAAGAAUCCACCUGCAAUAUGGGAGAUCUGGGUUUGAUCCCUAGCUUGGGAA